GGCAUCUACCAUCACCAUGACAACGGGUCGUGAAUAGCCAAUCCCAGCCCGCCAUUUCAUCCGGGACCUCAAGAUGACCACACUGAUACAAUAUAGUUUAAUUUCCAGCCAAGAUCAGAGUUAACCGAGACAUAUAUGGUGGAUAAAAAGCUCUUAAAAAUAUGGGUGUUCCGAGGAAAGUAUACCACUAGGGAAUGUGGGUUACAUUAGUAAUGGAGGAAUAUUUUGACAGCAGACGAAACUAAAGUGUUGCCAUGGUGACGGUGGUGGUGGGCAUGAUACAGAUGCAGGAGGUGGAGUUUGUGCCCGAUGGAGACAUGCAGCUGGACAAAUUGUGUUGGUCAUUGCUCAGAUUGGAGUUUACAUGUGUACCUCCUUCACCAUCAUUGGUGGACACUUCACCAUGAGUGAUGCUUGAGCUGUCACGGUGCUGCUGCUGCUGUGUGCCAUCAUCCCCCUGACACAGACCACCCUGCAGACCACCUUCAUCCUGGGUGCCACACAUUUAUGGUAUCAUUCAAAAUGUCCUUCAAAGAAACCCCUUUGUAAUCCAACAUACUUAGCCCAUUAAUCCUUCCAUUUCUCAUCAAUUUGUUCAACAUUCAUAUUUUUCCCUUAUAGGGUUGAACAAUUUUCAUGGGUUCAGAGCAAAAGGCUUCCUCAUUCCUCCCCAAGGUAUUCUCGGAUGGUAAGCAGGUUUGACUCUGGAGCAAACCUGACCAAGGGCUACUGCCCAAGGCUACAGAGGUUCCUCUCCCUGAGGCUGAAUGCACCAUGUGAGAUGGUUCUGUUAUGUGGAUGAAUGUCAUGGUGGAUAGCAGUGCCACCACAUUCCUACAAUCAUCCAUCACUCCACUGCUCAAACGCUUCUGCAACCAAUGAUAGGUAUGCUGCCACAUUCUGCAUGGUCUCCUUGGCUCUCAGAUAAGGAUACUGUCAACAGGUUUGGGAUUGCCAAAAAAUCAUAAGGAGCUAUGUCUGAAAAGUCCAGAGAGAGAGAGAGAGAGCGAGAGAGAGAGAGAGAGAGAAAGAAUGAGCAAGAGAAAGAGUAGGAUGAAGCAAAGGAAGAGUCAAGAGGGAGGAAGAGAGAGUAGGACAAGAAAAAACAGAACAAAUAAAUCCCCUACACGUCUUGUCUCCAUUCACACAAGCCAUGAAAAGCUUGUCCAUCCCUGAGUGCUCAGAAGCAGUGUUCCACUGAUGAUGUGGAAACUUGAGACACCCAAUCAUUUAAUGGGCUUUAGUAGGUUUUGUCACCAGUCUUCUGUGUGUCACUGACUACAUUUUGAAAUUUUUAUCUGUUCUAUUUAAUUUUGUGUGUAUGUACACAAUGUUUAUGGUCAAUAAACUAUUUAUAAAACUAUUUAUCUGUGUGAGUAAGAUAAAAGCAGUUAUUGUUGUUAUUAUUAUUAUUAUUAUUAUUAUUAUUAUUAUUAUUAUUAUUAUUAUUAUUAUUAUUAUUAUUAUUACACAUUUUCCUCCUUGUAUUUAAAUAUUAUUAUUAUUAUUAUUAUUAUUAUUAUUAUUAUUAUUAUUAUUAUUAUUAUUAUUAUCAUGAAUUGUUCUUGUUUAUAAAUAAAAUACUGUAACUGA